AUUGAACGCUGGCGGCAGGCCUAACACAUGCAAGUCGAGCGAGCGGCGGACGGGGGCGUAAUGUCUGGGAAACUGCCUGAUGGAGGGGGAUAACUACUGGAAAAGGUAGCUAAUACCGCAUACCAUCCGAUUUGCUCAGAGUGGAUUAGCUAGUAGGUGGGGUAACGGCUCACCAAGGCGACGAUCCCUAGCUGGUCUGAGAGGAUGACCAGCCACACUGGAACUGAGACACGGUCCAGACUCCUACGGGAGGCAGCAGUGGGGAAGAUUGCACAAUUGGCGCAAGCCUGAUGCAGCCAUGCCGCGUGUGUGAAGAAGGCCUUCGGGUUGUAAAGCACUUUCAGCGGGGAGGCGUUACCCGCAGAGGAAGCACCGGCUAACUCCGUGCCAGCCGCCGCGGUAAUUC
rnacentral:rRNA from 1 species